rnacentral:rRNA from 1 species
UACGUAGGUGGCAAGCGUUGUCCGGAUUUAUUGGGUUUAAAGGGUGCGUAGGCGGCCUUAUAAGUCAGUGCUGAAAUAUCCCGGCUUAACCGGGAGGGUGGCAUUGAUACUGUAGGGCUUGAGUGAAGUCGAGGUAGGCGGAAUUGACGGUGUAGCGGUGAAAUGCUUAGAUAUCGUCAAGAACACCGAUAGUGAAGACAGCUUACUAGACUUCAACUGACGCUGAGGCACGAAAGUGUGGGGAUCAAACAGGAUUAGAAACCCCCGUAGUCC